GGAGAAGGUUGAGCAAUCCUCAGAUCUGAAACUCUUGACCCAAUUUCGUCCAAAACCUUGCAGUAAUUUCUGCUAUCUUGCUGUUUCAGAUUCUGGUACGAUUUUGUAAAAUCCGUCAAAUCUUGUGUGCAGAUCCAAAUCGAGUGAUUCAAAGUUCCACGAUAGGUAUUGAAAAUAUCUACAACUUGGCAUUGGUCUCAUCCUCAAAUUCGUUACGGAUUUUGCAUGAUCAAGAUCUGGUCAGAUCUGACUUUGUCGAAUUAAACCAGGAGCUUGGAGACGAAUUUUUGAAUGAAACCAAUUGGGGGAUGUUUGGUUUAUACCAUGGUGAUAACCGAGAGAGGCAAUUGCUAAGUUGUGAUACUCUCAUACCUUUACUAGAUGCGAACAAUUCCGGAGAAGAAGAAGAAGUGGAAUCGGAUGAGGAUUUUAUUUAUGUUGUUGGGAUUCUUAUAUUGAUGGAGUAGAAAAAGUACAGGGACAAAUAAGCCA